UACGUAGGUGACAAGCGUUGUCCGGAUUUACUGGGCGUAAAGAGCGCGCAGGCGGUCGUUCAAGUCGAGUGUGAAAGCCCCCGGCUCAACUGGGGAGGGUCAUUCGAUACUGAUCGACUCGAAGGCAGGAGAGGGAAGUGGAAUUCCCGGUGUAGCGGUGGAAUGCGCAGAUAUCAGGAGGAACACCGGUGGCGAAGGCGGGUCUCUGGGCAGUAACUGACGCUGAGGAGCGAAAGCGUGGGGAGCGAACAGG
rnacentral:rRNA from 1 species